CUACGGGCGGCUGCAGUGGGGAAUAUUGCACAAUGGGCGCAAGCCUGAUGCAGCCAUGCCGCGUGUGUGAAGAAGGCCUUCGGGUUGUAAAGCACUUUCAGCGGGGAGGAAGGCGUUAAGGUUAAUAACCUUGGCGAUUGACGUUACCCGCAGAAGAAGCACCGGCUAACUUCGUGCCAGCAGCCGCGGUAAUACGGAGGGUGCAAGCGUUAAUCGGAAUUACUGGGCGUAAAGCGCACGCAGGCGGUCUGUCAAGUCGGAUGUGAAAUCCCCGGGCUCAACCUGGGAACUGCAUUCGAAACUGGCAGGCUAGAGUCUUGUAGAGGGGGGUAGAAUUCCAGGUGUAGCGGGGAAAUGCGUAGAGAUCUGGAGGAAUACCGGUGGCGAAGGCGGCCCCCUGGACAAAGACUGACGCUCAGGUGCGAAAGCGUGGGGAGCAAACAGGAUUAGAUACCCGAGUAGUC
rnacentral:rRNA from 1 species